UAGUAAUGUUUGGCACCUUUGUUAGUUAUUCCAGCAAGCUCUCUUACACUACGUCCCUGGGAGAUUUGUCAGUUCAGGAAGACUGAGAACAAUGAGCCUGCCUUGGAUCUGGAGAUAGACCUCAUUAGUUUUGAGGAUUAGACACAAUACCUAGCACAGACACGGGUAAUCAGCAUACCAGCGUGGAGAGGCAUCCCAGGAUGCUUUUAAUGAGGCUACCCAGCCUGGAUAUUGGGUUGCUCUUCAAAGAUCCGACUCCAAAGAGAGCCGGGUGUAAGGCUGGUGGGUGACCCCACGGAAACUGCCAUCCUAAUAACAGCUGUUCGUGUUUAAGACUAGACUAAGCCAGCUCAAAGGCUUCGACAGCUUUGGGGGAGUUGCAUUGCUAUUCAGAGGACCACAAAAAAACAGUAAUGAAGUACAUCGUUACAGAGCGAGAAUAAUGCAGCUGUACAGCUCCCCACAGAACUAUAAAGCAGAGCCACAUUCAUGACAAAGGACAUCAUCCUGCCGAGUGAGGAAUCCCUGGCCCACCAGCGAGACAGAGCAUUUUGCGCAUUUAAAGCACUCCCCAUGCCACUGGCGCUCUUCAAAUGAGAUAAAUUUGGCACCUCCGAGAGCUGAAAGAGAUUAUGAGAAAGAAGGUGUGAAUCCAAUAUUUCUGGACAUGGUUCCGAAACACUACAGAUUGUCUUCUGAUGUGUGAUCAGGUUGUCAUUCAUAUAGCAAAAACCCAAAUGAAUAGAAAUCCAUAGUCUGAAAUAUCUUUUGUUGGCUGAAUUGAAAAAAAAUUUAUCAUUAAAUACAGUGAGAAAUAUUAUAAGCAAAGCCACAAGUCACUUGCUUGUUUUCAUAUCCCGUUAUGAACUCUGAACAGAAUGGGUUUAUCAGAAUGCCCAUGCAGGUUUGCUGAUCUUCCCAACAAACUCUCAUGAAAAUUGUUCGCAAUGUGUUGAUACAUAUAGUUUCUAUAGAACGCCGAGUGAAACUUAAUUGUUUCCACCUAAGUUUCUUCAAGAUGGAGUCUUUUGAAAAUUACCAGAUCAUGGAGUUCCUAGCAUGAGUAUUUGAAAUAAAGUAUUGGGUUCUUU